rnacentral:rRNA from 1 species
GAGGUAAAUUUCUCCUAAGGCUAAAUAUUGGCGAGAGACCGAUAGCGAACAAGUACCGUGAGGGAAAGAUGAAAAGAACUUUGAAAAGAGAGUUAAAUAGUAUGUGAAAUUGUUGAAAGGGAAACGAUUGAAGCCAGUCAUGCCGGUGGGAAAUCAGCUCAUAGGCUACUGUGGGUGCACUUUCUCGCAAGGCAGGUUAACAUCGGUUUCAGUUGCGUUAUAAUGAUGGUGGGAAGGUAGCU